CUGGACUUGCUGAGAUUUAUUAUCCAACUGGGUCACAUGCCCAUGUCGGAAACCAACGACUGCUUCUAUUCAGAGUGGGUGGAUGGAAAAACAGUCAGCCGCUUUACCAGGACCCAAGGAAAGCAGGAAAUGGGGAAUGCCCUAGAGGAGAGGUUGGAGCAGUAGCAGAAGGGUGAGCGGGGCCCUGGGCGACAAGAACAGGUGACCUGAUGCAGAGGGAACAAGGGAAUUCAAGAGCUACGAGUCUGACCGACCUGACCCAUGACACCGAGGCUGGCUGAAGGGCCUGGAAGAAUACAUGCUGUUUCCAGUGGGAUCCUCCUGCUAAAUACAGACAGAGCCACGCUUGGCUCCACUGCCCGUUAGUGGAGCUCCUUUUGCUGGUGUCCAGCAUCAUGGGGCGCUUGCUUUACACACAUCGGAGGCCCGAGGCUGAGGGAGAGAUGAUGCUGACAGCUGAGCGAUCAACACUCUGAACACAGCAGCCACCUCCUAAGUUCACGCAGGGACCACCU